UGUUUGGACUCGCUUCCUCUGAGAAUCGUUGUAAUCAUUAAAUUGCAUUAGUCGAAAGUUCAUUUUCAGGUUUUUUUGGUAGCCUGGUCCUAGCCUCGUCACUACUUCGCCGAGGUUAGGCUAGGCACUUACCAACAUAUGGGGUCGGUAGUGCUGAUACUACAUUUCUGUACAUUUUUGUGUACAGAUCCAGGUGGGUUGAUAGUAGCCGUGCGGGUCAUCGCGGUGGAGACUCAAGGUAAACCUGCUACAGCGUUCGCAGGUCUCGGAGUCACCUUCAUUUGGAUUUACUUACAUUUGCUCCUUUGUUUCGGGGCAGUGAUGUAUUAUUUUGUGAAAUUACUCUUAUAUAGGCUUGUUACUUGUACCACCGGUUUUGGAAAUUGUAAAUUGUUAAGAGUUACUGAAUUUAAAGUUGGCAACUACCAAUGCUA